rnacentral:tRNA from 1 species
GGGCGGUUAGCUCAGUUUGGUUAGAGCAUCUGACUUACAUUCAGAAGGUCGAGGGUUCAAUUCCUUCACCGCCCACCA